GACGAACGCUGGCGGCGUGCUUAACACAUGCAAGUCGAACGGAAAGGCCCUGCUUUUGUGGGGUUCUCGAGUGGCGAACGGGUGAGUAACACGUGAGUAACCUGCCCUUGACUUUGGUAUAACUUCAGGAAACUGGGGCUACUACCGGAUAGGAUCUCCUGCUGCAUGGUGGGGGUUGGAAAGUUUCGGCGGUUGGGGAUGGACUCGCGGCUUAUCAGCUUGUUGGUGGGGUAGUGGCUUACCAAGGCUUUGACGGGUAGCCGGCAUGAGAGGGUGACCGGCGACAUUGGGACUGAGAUAGGGACCAGACGCCUACGGGAGGCAGCAGUGGGGAAUAUGGCACAAUGGGCGGAAGCCUGAGGCAGAAACGUCGGGGGCGGGAUGACGGUCUUCGGGGUGUAAACAGCUGUAGCCUGUGACGAAGCGGGAGUGACGGUAAUGGGUAAAGAAGCACCGGCUAACUACGUG
rnacentral:rRNA from 1 species